rnacentral:snoRNA from 1 species
UUGCUUCUCAAACUGUGGGAGCUUAUUAGAAAGGCAGUCUCCAGGCUACACGUUCGCCAUAUUAAGACCACGCGCGUGUCCCCAGACCCCUGUCCCUUCCCCUAGUCCUGGUUUUGCAAAUGCUGGUGACAUAC